UACGUAGGUGGCAAGCGUUGUCCGGAUUUACUGGGUGUAAAGGGCGUGUAGGCGGGUCUGCAAGUCAGAUGUGAAAUUUAGAGGCUCAACCUCUAAACUGCAUUUGAAACUGCAGGUCUUGAGUGAUGGAGAGGCAGGCGGAAUUCCUAGUGUAGCGGUGAAAUGCGUAGAUAUUAGGAGGAACACCAGUGGCGAAGGCGGCCUGCUGGACAUUAACUGACGCUGAUGCGCGAAAGCGUGGGGAGCAAACAGG
rnacentral:rRNA from 1 species